GUCGUUCGUAUACGUGGAUCGAUGGCGACGAGUAUGAACGUGAUACUCAUACUAUGUCGUUGAUCAGCGUUUUCUGCUUGUACGAAUACGCCUGCUUCACAUGUAUACACGGUGACUGUUGGUCAAACGGCACUCGUACGUACGGAUCGAUAAUGAUAUCGAUAAGAGCGAUUCCCGUUUUAGUGAUGAUUGAAACGAUAGCAACAUGUGUAUAAUAUUAAUACACCGAAUGUGAUGUGUAUGAAAUAUGUGUGAAUGUGUGAGAAUAUGUUAGCUAUGUCAUUACGACCGUCGUCGUCGUUGAUAUCGAUUUUCAAUGGGUAUCGUUGAUAGUCGACGAGUCAACGUCGUCGAUGGAUGCGUUAUUGAGUAGUGACAAUAGAUCGAACUAUAUUCCUUUUUAUAAAGCCUAAGCACCACA
rnacentral:misc_RNA from 1 species